UAAAAGCGACACAACCCUUUCCACAUUCAUAAAAAUAUCUCUGGUAAAAGCAGAGUCGUUCGUACAAUUGUGACGAAAUCAUGAGCAUAUAUUCGUUUCAGCAAUCUUACAGCUGUACGAUGUUGUUUGUAAACAAAUCGUGUCUGGACCAGAUAAUCCAGUGA